GACAGAGGAUGCAAGCGUUAUCCGGAAUGAUUGGGCGUAAAGCGUCUGUAGGUGGCUUUUAAGUCCGCCGUCAAAUCCCAGGGCUCAACCCUGGACAGGCGGUGGAAACUACCAAGCUGGAGUACGGUAGGGGCAGAGGGAAUUCCCGGUGUAGCGGUGAAAUGCGCAGAUAUCGGGAAGAACACCCGUGGCGAAGGCGGUUCUCUGGGACGGUACUGACGCUGAGACGCGAAAGCGUGGGGAGCGAACAGGG
rnacentral:rRNA from 1 species